UUUCAUUUCAUAAUUAAACCCUAAAAAUUAACUACAUCCCCUUUCAGCCGCAUCUCCAAAUCUCUCCACACUCUGUUUGCAAGCUCUGGUCGAAACCUUUGCCAAACCAUCGCCACCAUGCCUCCAUCUUUCCCCUGCUCCGGUAACCACAUCAGCGCCGGGACUCACGACCACUCUCUUAUCUUCUUCUUUGAUCGAAACCAAGAGUCACCAUCGCUUCAAAACCCAGCAAAACAAUGCCGACCAUACCUCCUUGGUGGUUGUUUUUCACUCUGAUCGUCAACUUCCUAAUGAAAAUCAAACCUACGCAAACAAAUUAGCUCUCCUUUCACUCGAUCACUGCCACAAAGACCACGGUUGAUGCCCCUAAAUGCCCUAUAUGGGCACGAUACACCUCCUUGACCACCACCGUGGUGGUUACUUGUGGUGAAGGACCCGAACCGAUGAGGUAAUCGCUUCACUUUUUUCUUUCCUUCGUUUUGUUUUCUUCGAUUUCUCUCUGGGUAUUCUCUCGUUUUUUUCUUGCCUAUCUCAACGCAUGGCAGUGCUCCUAAUCUCCCAAAGACAACGCUCGGCCACCGUUCACUGGUGACCCCUGCUCACCUACAUUCUAACACUCAGACCGGUUCUUAAAUCUAACAUGCAAAGGCUGAAACACCACACAAACCCCAACUCUCCGAUGACGAAACCGAAUCAAAAGGUAGCAGAAAACUCACAUGUUACCAUUUUUCUUCACCAAAUUCGUUUUUCUUUCUUUCCUUUUUUUCUUCAUUGCUUUAUUUGGUAAGAAUAGUGAAGAUUGGCUCCAACAAUGGUGAUAGCUUGAGAUGUUGCCGUGAUUGGCUGCCGCUCAUGCACAUGGAUGGGAACAUCUCCUGUGCUUAAUUGAUUUACUUGUAAUUAUUUUGGGCUGUUGGAUUUUUAUUGGGCCUGCAUUGGGCUCCGGGAUUGCUUUUGUUGUAGUGGGCUU